CCUACGGGAUGCAGCAGUGAGGAAUCUUGGUCAAUGGGCGCGAGCCUGCACCAGCCAAGUCGCGUGAGGGAAGACGGUCCUAUGGAUUGUAAACCUCUUUUGUCGGGGAGCAAAAGACGCCACGCGUGGCGUUCCGAGAGUACCCGAAGAAAAAGCAUCGGCUAACUCCGUGCCAGCAGCCGCGGUAAUACGGAGGAUGCGGGCGUUAUCCGGAUUUAUUGGGUUUAAAGGGUGCGCAGGGGGAAGAUCAAGUCAGCGGUAAAAGUGAGAGGCUCAACCUCUUCGAGCCGUUGAAACUGGUUUUCUUGAGUGAGCGAGAGGUAUGCGGAAUGCGUGGUGUAGCGGUGAAAUGCAUAGAUAUCACGCAGAACUCCGAUUGCGAAGGCAGCAUACCGGCGCUCAACUGACGCUCAUGCACGAAAGUGUGGGUAUCGAACAGGAUUAGAUACCCUGGUAGUC
rnacentral:rRNA from 1 species